UCCGUAAACAGAGAUAUACUCAGCAUGCGUCUCUUCUAUUUCCAGUUACAGAAAAAUCAACAAACAGAGAUACACUUAGCGUGCGUCACUCUGCGUUUCUUGGAGUUUGCUUCUCAUCAAGAUUUGGGAUUUAAUGGGUUAACCAGAGCUUGUUGCUCUUCACCUGCUCUUAAGUUGAUUAUUUCGAACUUCUCUUCGGUUCAACAGCUCAGACUCAACUAUCUUCUCCAUUAAGACAAAUGCAGCUCAAGAAUUUGAGGAUGGAAGAAUCUAUCGUUCAAGAAAGUGAGGAGCAAGUUGAAGUGCAAGAGGGCUUUUAUUGCAUUAGGGGUCGUGUAAAGACGAUAUCUUAUGUAUAUAUGUUGUAAUUUUUAUUUUUAGGAGUUGGUAAAGAUGAUGUCAUACAACUUGGGUAUGGUAGAUCAUUCUUUAAUCAGUUCUUUGUAUUAAAAAUGAAGUUUUAUAUGGAAUAUUAGUUAUUUAGUAUUCUUU